rnacentral:rRNA from 1 species
AGUGAACGCUGGCGGUAGGCCUAACACAUGCAAGUCGAACGGCAGCACAGUAAGAGCUUGCUCUUACGGGUGGCGAGUGGCGGACGGGUGAGGAAUACAUCGGAAUCUACUUUUUCGUGGGGGAUAACGUAGGGAAACUUACGCUAAUACCGCAUACGACCUACGGGUGAAAGCAGGGGAUCUUCGGACCUUGCGCGAUCGAAUGAGCCGAUGUCGGAUUAGCUAGUUGGCGGGGUAAAGGCCCACCAAGGCGACGGUCCGUAGCUGGUCUGAGAGGAUGAUCAGCCACACUGGAACUGAGACACGGUCCAGACUCCUACGGGAGGCAGCAGUGGGGAAUAUUGGACAAUGGGCGCAAGCCUGAUCCAGCCAUACCGCGUGGGUGAAGAAGGCCUUCGGGUUGUAAAGCCCUUUUGUUGGGAAAGAAAAGCAGCAGGUUAAUACCCCGCUGUUCUGACGGUACCCAAAGAAUAAGCACCGGCUAACUUCGUG